GGUUUCUGCAGUAGCUUGAAGCUCUGGAGUGAUCCCUAUAGGAAAAUUCUUUUGGUGGUAUCUAAAUCCACAAGACUACAAGAGACCUGAUAAACAAGAACCCAUCUCUAACACAAGACACAGUUCCACAAGUGAUAGAGUAGACAAAAGAAAUUGCCUUGCAGCACAGCUCUCUUCUUUCGAUAUCAUUGCUAUUGUUAUUGCUGUAGUGAAAGGUUGGAGUACUGGGAGUGGUGAUUAGCUAGGCUGUGACUUGAGCAAAUUAAGA